UACGGAGGGUGCAAGCGUUAUCCGGAUUCACUGGGUUUAAAGGGUGCGUAGGUGGGCUGGUAAGUCAGUGGUGAAAUCUCCAGGCUUAACUUGGAAACUGCCAUUGAUACUAUUUGUCUUGAAUACUGUGGAGGUCAGCGGAAUAUGUCAUGUAGCGGUGAAAUGCUUAGAUAUGACAUAGAACACCAAUUGCGAAGGCAGCUCACUGGGACGGUAUUGACGCUGAGACGCGAAAGCGUGGGGAGCAAACAGG
rnacentral:rRNA from 1 species